CCCCUCCCCACUCCCCCUCCCAUCUCUAAAAAUGCCUUCCUGCUGCCUCCUCCUGCCUGAAAUUCCAUCUUAUCCAUCCUAGGGUCUAAAGCUCUGGCCGCCAGGGCUGCACGGCUCUGAGCUCACUGAUUUGCUUCUGGGCUUCAGUAUCCCCAUCUGUAAAGUGGGAGCGCCCCGGAGUAAAGGAACUCCCGAGUCAGUCACCCGCAGCAACUGUGUCUCCAGCUCCAGUCCCCACGGGAAGGGGGUGCACUGUGGUGAGCGGGACCCCGCAGCUCUCGACCAAGGGGCCUUGAUAGGCAGGGAGGAGCCGUGGGGCGCUCGCAGUCCAGGGGCAGGUGUGUUUGCAGAGGCCUGACUCCCCCACCCCACCCCGGGGCCUCCAGGAGGCCACUCCCUGCCCAGGAAGGAAGGCUGGAAGAGAGCCUCAGGGCAGCGGAACCGCUCAUUGCCGAUGGUGAUGACCUGCCCGUCCGGCAGCUCGUAGCUCUUCUCCAGGGAGGAGCUGGAGGCCGCGGUGGCCAUCUCCUGCUCGAAGUCCAGGGCCACGUAGCAGAGCUUCUCCUUGAUGUCACGGACGAUUUCCCGCUCGGCCGUGGUGGUGAAGCUGUAGCCACGCUCCGUGAGGAUCUUCAUGAGGUAGUCCGUCAGGUCCCGGCCAGCCAGGAGAUCUGGAAGAACACUUUAUAUAAAGAAACGCGCGGCUGCAUCUUAACAGGGGGAGCGUUUUGUUUCCUUCCGCUGAAUUCCUCUGAGCUCAGCAAGAUACAGAAACGCUGGCCUAACCCGGAAGACUCUGACACGCCUGCCUCACAUGGUGGGUGGGGAGUGAGGCGAGCCAGAGCAUUCGGGGGCUGGCAGUGGGCGGCCUCUCCCAGUACCAACUCGGCAUGCUGGCAGCCGGCAGAAGUGAGGGAGAAAAGCAGAGAGGCUUUCAUGAAGAAAAACCACCCCAAAGCCCAACUUCUUACAAUGUGUCCCCCAACAAUGAAGCCCCACAGCUCUGCCCAUGGAGCGGGGUCUGGAUGGGAGAAGAUGAAGAGAAACUGCAGCUGGUUAAAGGGAAGAGAAGGUUUCCGCCCAUCAGAUAUUGACAAAAUCGCCACCACAGGCUGA
rnacentral:lncRNA from 1 species